GUUAAUGUUCAGUUCAAUUCCUCAUUUAAUGUUAAUUUGUGUGAUUUUGCAAACUGUGUAAAACAAUUCAUGAUAGCGGCCCUGUUCAUGGUUCAUUUAGUUCUCUUAUGUUAUUUGGUCUUAUGCAGUAUAUAACCCACAGCAUUUUGGCUUGUAGUACAUACGAUGAUAAAAUGUGUUUUUUGACUGUAAACCAUGGCA
rnacentral:misc_RNA from 1 species